AUUGAACGCUGGCGGCGUGCCUAAUACAUGCAAGUCGAACGCGUGGCAGGCGGGUGAGUAAUGUAUGGAAACCUCCCCUAUGUGGGGGGAUAACUACUGGAAACGGUGGCUAAUACCGCAAACCGUCAUAUGUGCCUAGAUUGGAUGAGCUUGUUGGUGGGGUAACGGCUCACCAAGGCGACGACCCCUAGCUGGUCUGAGAGGAUGACCAGCCACACUGGAACGGAGACACGGUCCAGACUCGUACGGGAGGCAGCAGUGGGGAAUCUUGGGCAAUGGGCGCAAGCCUGAAGCAGCCAUGCCGCGUGUAGGAAGAAGGCCUUCGGGUUGUAAAGUACUUUCAGCGGGGAGGCGGUACCCGAAGAAGAAGCACCGGCUAACUCCGUGCCAGCAGCCGCGGUAAUUC
rnacentral:rRNA from 1 species